GAGUUCGAUUAUGGCUCAGGAUGAACGCUGGCGGCGUGCUUAACACAUGCAAGUCGAACGAACCUUCGGGUUAGUGGCGGACGGGUGAGUAACGCGUGGGAAUCUGCCCUCAGGAGGGGGAUAACGGCCGGAAACGGCCGCUAAUACCCCAUAUGCCGAGAGGUGAAAUGAAUUUCGCCUGAGGAUGAGCCCGCGUCUGAUUAGCUAGUUGGUGAGGUAAGAGCUCACCAAGGCAUCGAUCAGUAGCUGGUCUGAGAGGAUGAUCAGCCACACUGGGACUGAGACACGGCCCAGACUCCUACGGGAGGCAGCAGUGGGGAAUUUUCCGCAAUGGGCGAAAGCCUGACGGAGCAACGCCGCGUGAGGGAUGAAGGCCUCUGGGCUGUAAACCUCUUUUAUCAAGGAAGAAGAUCUGACGGUACUUGAUGAAUAAGCCACGGCUAAUUCCGUGC
rnacentral:rRNA from 1 species